rnacentral:lncRNA from 1 species
GGCAUGAGGAGCUCAGGGCUCAGGGCUCCUAAGGGUUGUUCCGCCUUUGCUUUUAGCUCUGUCGAGUCCCUGGAUACUUUGCUCAUCUCCAAGAUUCCCUGGACACUUCGCUCAUCUCCAAACUGCAGAAACACCCUCAGACCCUGGUUUUUGUUUCCUCACUCUGCGCUGUCUGACUUCUCCACAUCCACAGGCCCUGCGUAGAAACCAGAAGAAAGGACUGUGGUUUGCAUGUUACUUGAUGAACUCUCAGGGACUGAAUCCCCAUCAUCUUCCAGUCUGAGCCUAUAUGGGGAUGGAGUACUG